CCUACGGGAGGCAGCAGUCGAGAAUCAUUCACAAUGGGGGAAACCCUGAUGGUGCGACGCCGCGUGGGGGAAUGAAGGUCUUCGGAUUGUAAACCCCUGUCAUGUGGGAGCAAAUUAAAAAGAUAGUACCACAAGAGGAAGAGACGGCUAACUCUGUGCCAGCAGCCGCGGUAAUACAGAGGUCUCAAGCGUUGUUCGGAAUCACUGGGCGUAAGGCGUGCGUAGGCUGUUUCGUAAGUCGUGUGUGAAAGGCGCGGGCUCAACCCGCGGACGGCACAUGAUACUGCGAGACUAGAGUAAUGGGGGGGGAACCGGAAUUCUCGGUGUAGCAGUGAAAUGCGUAGAUAUCGAGAGGAACACUCGUGGCGAAGGCGGGUUCCUGGACAUUAACUGACGCUGAGGCACGAAGGCCAGGGGAGCGAAAGGGAUUAGAUACCCUAGUAGUC
rnacentral:rRNA from 1 species